AGUGAACGCUGGCGGUAGGCCUAACACAUGCAAGUCGAACGGCAGCACAGUAAGAGCUUGCUCUUACGGGUGGCGAGUGGCGGACGGGUGAGGAAUACAUCGGAAUCUACUUUUUCGUGGGGGAUAACGUAGGGAAACUUACGCUAAUACCGCAUACGACCUACGGGUGAAAGCAGGGGAUCUUCGGACCUUGCGCGAUUGAAUGAGCCGAUGUCGGAUUAGCUAGUUGGCGGGGUAAAGGCCCACCAAGGCGACGAUCCGUAGCUGGUCUGAGAGGAUGAUCGGCCCAACUGGACCUGGGACACGGUCAAGACCCCUACGGGAGGCAGCAGUGGGGAAUAUUGGACAAUGGGCGCAAGCCUGAUCCAGCCAUACCGCGUGGGUGAAGAAGGCUUUCGGGUUGUAAAGCCCUUUUGUUGGGAAAGAAAAGCAGCAGGUUAAUACCCCGCUGUUCUGACGGUACCCAAAGAAUAAGCACCGGCUAACUUCGU
rnacentral:rRNA from 1 species